CAUGCGGCAGCUACACAUGCAAGUCGAGCGGAAACGAUCCUAGCUUGCUAGGAGGCGUCGAGCGGCGGACGGGUGAGUAAUGCAUAGGAAUCUGCCCGGUAGUGGGGGAUAACCUGGGGAAACUCAGGCUAAUACCGCAUACGUCCUACGGGAGAAAGCAGGGGCUCUUCGGACCUUGCGCUAUCGGAUGAGCCUAUGUCGGAUUAGCUGGUUGGUGAGGUAACGGCUCACCAAGGCGACGAUCCGUAGCUGGUCUGAGAGGAUGAUCAGCCACAUCGGGACUGAGACACGGCCCGAACUCCUACGGGAGGCAGCAGUGGGGAAUAUUGGACAAUGGGCGCAAGCCUGAUCCAGCCAUGCCGCGUGUGUGAAGAAGGCCCUCGGGUUGUAAAGCACUUUCAGUGGGGAAGAAAUCCUCGGGGCUAAUACCCUCGAGGGAGGACAUCACCCACAGAAGAAGCACCGGCUAACUCCGUGCCAGCAGCCGCGGUAAUACGGAGGGUGCGAGCGUUAAUCGGAAUUACUGGGCGUAAAGCGCGCGUAGGCGGCGUGAUAAGCCGGUUGUGAAAGCCCCGGGCUCAACCUGGGAACGGCAUCCGG
rnacentral:rRNA from 1 species